UCUGUUUGAAGUUAUAUAAAGUCUAACCUGCCCACUGACUAUAUUAGUUUAAGGGCCGCGGUAUUAUGACCGUGCAAAGGUAGCAUAAUCAUUAGGUUUUUAAAUGAGAUCUUGUAUGAACGGUUGGACAAAGAAGAAACUGUCUGUUAUAUUAAAACUUGAAUUUAACUUUUAAGUGAGAAGGCUUAAAUAUUCUAAGGGGACGAUAAGACCCUAUAAAACUUUACAUUAAAAUUGUAUUUGAUUAAAUUUUGAAAAAAAUAAAAAUUUAAUGUAGUUAUUUGUUAUAUUGGGGAGAUAAAAGUAGAAAUUAUAAUAGCUGCUUGGUAAAUAUACAUUUAUAAAUG
rnacentral:rRNA from 1 species